rnacentral:rRNA from 1 species
AUUGAACGCUGGCGGCAGGCCUAACACAUGCAAGUCGAACGAGUGGCGGACGGGUGAGUAAUGUCUGGGAGACUGCCCGAUGGGGGGGGAUAACUACUGGAAACGGUAGCUAAUACCGCAUACCAUCGGAUGUGCCCAGAUGGGGUUAGCUAGUAGGUGGGGUAACGGCUCACCUAGGCGACGCUCCCUAGCUGGUCUGAGAGGAUGACCAGCUACACUGGAACUGAGACACGCUCCAGACCCCUACGGGAGGCAGCAGUGGGGAAUAUCGCACAAUGGGGGCAAGCCGGAUGCAGCCAUGCCGCGUGAAUGAAGAAGGCUUUCGGGUUGUAAAGUACUUUGCGCCCGGAGGCGUUAGCCACAGAAGAAGCACCGGCUAACUCCGUGCCAGCCGCCUCGGUAAUUC